GAAAUGCGAUAAGUAAUGUGAAUUGCAGAAUUCAGUGAAUCAUCGAAUCUUUGAACGCACAUUGCGCCCCCUGGUAUUCCGGGGGGCAUGCCUGUUCGAGCGUCAUUUCACCACUCAAGCCUCGCUUGGUAUUGGGCAACGCGGUCCGCCGCGUGCCUCAAAUCGACCGGCUGGGUCUUCUGUCCCCUAAGCGUUGUGGAAACUAUUCGCUAAAGGGUGUUCGGGAGGCUACGCCGUAAAACAACCCUAUUUCUAAGGUUGACCUCGGAUCAGGUAGGGAUACCCGCUGAACUUAAGC
rnacentral:misc_RNA from 1 species